GCCGAGAUGCUGAAAUGGUAGACAGUUCAGUCUCAAAAACUGAUGGGUGCAAGCCCGUGAGGGUUCGACUCCCUCUCUCGGCA
rnacentral:tRNA from 1 species